UGAUCUACAUUCACUGACUUUCUCUUCACUCUUUACUGUCUGAACUUAAAAACUUGAAUACUAAACAAGAUUUUGUCCUUAAUUUAACCAUUUUAACUCAUGGAAAUUUCAUAUUCUCUUUAUCCACACAAUGUCAAAUCAUGGUUUCAAGCAUGCUGGCAGCUAUAGCUCUAUUACCAGAGAGCCCUAACUUCAUUCCUAGUCUUAACACAUCUUGACCUUACUUGCCCUUAUUCCACUUAUCUCAACUAAUAAGCAAACUGGUUAAAAAUAGAAAACACUAAAAAAUUGUGAAUCCAUACUUCAAACUUUCAUGGUGGAAAGAAAACUGAACUAUCCAAGUCAGAAUUAUUGACUAAGAAAACUGAAGUGGAAAAGUAUUUUAAACCAAAUAUUUGAAAUGUAUUUUCUCUAUAAAUAGUCAAACCCAACUAAGUUUAAUUUUUGACCUUCAAUUUUUAUUGAAAAGCUUUUCUCAUAGGCAGUCUCAAAUCAGUAUUGAAAAGAGAUUUAGGCUCAGACUUGCCAGAUAUAUCUUCCCUCCAACACUUUUUAUUUUAGUUUCCCUUUCAGCUGAAAUCCACAAAAUCAUAUUGCCUUACUUUAUAGCUAGACAGUAGUUAUAUGGAGACAACUUCAAAUGCACACACUGUAGUUUAUUAUAAAUAUUGUAGACUAAAAAAUAUUGAAAAUUCAAGAUAAUAUUAAUUUUUCCAUGUUGUAGGCUGUCUUUACUCACAAAUCUAGAGGGACUAUUUAAUAAUUUGUAUGUCUUCUCAGUCAUAUCAGUUUAAUUCUAUCAAGUAAUUUGUUGUUUCAACUCAACAUGUGACCCAAAUAGAACAGUUUUUGAUCAUCUGUAUUCAAUGAACAUCCUGCCUUUUCAAAUUUAGCCUAUCCUUCAAAAUAGUCAUUUUUAGGGUACUUGUAGAAAAUGAACAGUCUUGCCUUUAAAGUAAAAUAGAUAUUGUGGAAAAUUAGGAAAAAGUAUAACCAGCGAGGUUAGAAAAAGAACACCUUUAGAAUGUGUGAGAGAAAUCCAUACACUGUGUGCAAAAUUAACAAUCCAAGGGCAUUCUCAGAAGCAAACACAUGAUGGGCUAUUAUUGGAUGUUGAGCUAUUGAAUAUUGUAGAAGUGUCACAUACUUGUCACUGUGUGGUGGAAAUAUGGAAAUCAGAGGUUGAAGGUCAACAAACAGUUUAAUAAAUGGAUACUGUGAGGUGGUUAAUAACUAAAGAAGAGGAAGUUUGACUUUAGAAAUAAAUUGGGGUAUGGCUAGUAGCACCCAUGUAGUGGAGAAAAGUAAGCUAUCAGAUCCAAACAUGCAAAAAACAUAUUUUUAAUCUUCCCCCAAGAAUAUGUGGUUAUAUCUCCAGUAAAUGUGGUAUUGUUUAAAUUUUUACUGAGAAAUAAAUAUAUAUAUUAAGGAAGCAAUUUUCUGAUUUGUUAUUUGUAUAUUGAGGGGACCUGCUCCUUAAGAUGGAUGAGCCUUUUAUGAAUGACAGCUUCAAAAACUGAGGAAUCUUCUUUAUAGGCCUAGUUAUUCACUCCUGAUCAUUUUUAUACAAAAAUACUUCUAAUUAUUUUUCAGAUGAGGAUAAGAUUCUUGUUGAAAAUAUACUGCAAAGCCAUUUUUACUGCUAUUUCCAGAUGAUUGACCAAGUAUACCUAUUUACUUUUCUUCUUUUCCAAAGAUUCACUUAAAAAUAAUAAAAGACACAUCCAGAAGAAAAUCACGUCUUCCAAAGCACUGGAUAACUGGAACCGUUUUCAGCAGUAUCAGGGGAGAAGAAACAUUGAGAAAUAUGUGCAAGGUAAAGAGUAAGUUUGAACGAAAAUACUGCAGCCCCAUACCUGUGAAAGAGGAAGACUACUAAAAAGCAGGAGAAAAGACCAGGAUCAUAGGAAAACAGGUUUUGGAAACAAAGUGGGCCCCCAAAGCCACUGUAGGGUAGUUUAUUGAAAUACUAAAUAACAGUUGGACUUAUUGUCAAAACAACGGAAACUAGUAAUUGCUCUCAGGCUAAAGGCAGAAGAAAACCUUUCUUAAUCGCACACAUCUUCUAUACAGGAAAAAGUGGAGUGAAAAGGCUGGCAUCUUCCCAAGGAGAGGGAGUCUGGUACACAGAAUGCAAACUUUUGAGGAAUUUCCAAGUACCUCUGACAAGUCCCCUUAUAAUUCAGGAAAAGUGACUGCCAAUGUUCUAAUAAUUGCAAUUUAUUUUUCAAAAUGAAUAAAUUUAGUUCCUUAUUUAUAAAUAUGGGCAGUAACCAAGCAUCAUGAAGCAUUAGAAGAAUAUCAUUAACAUGAAAAAGAUGUAUAAUAUUGACCUAAUAGAAGAAAAAUAAGCCCUAAGGAAACGUUAGUAUAUAAAUCAUAAAAUAAAACAAUGAAAUUGGUAUUCUCAGAAAUCUUUUUAAUAAAGAGCUCUUGAAAAUUAACAAGAGUUAUUAACGUUACUGGUAGAAAAUCCAAAUGAGCAGAAUGUUCUAUGUAAGCCUGAGAUAUAUAUUCUAGGUAGAAUGUUCUAUAAAUGUCAAUCAGAUCAAGUUCAUUGAUAAUGCUAUUCAAGUCACCUACGUCCAGAUUUUCUUCCUGCUUGAUCUAUUCUUUACUGGAACAGGUUGUUGAGGUCUUUGUGAGUUUGACUGUAUUUCAGCUCCAUCAGUUUUGCCAACGGUAUUUGGACAAUGUUGUUAGAUACACACACAUUAGGUCUGCUAUGUUCUUAGAUAAUUAACCCCUUUAUUAUUGCAUAAUGUCCUUUUUUUAUCCAUGAUAAGCUUCCUUGAUAUAAGCCUACUUUGUCUAAAAUUAAUGUAGCUACGCUUUCUUUUGAUUAUUGUCAUCAUGGUAUAAAUUUCUUCAUCUUUUUACUUUUAACCUGAGUAUAUUUAAAGUAGGUUAUAAGCUGGAUCUUAUUUUCAUCCACUCUGAUAAUUUAUCUUUUAAUUGGUUUACUGGGACCAUUCCUAGUUAAAGUAACUAUUGAUAAUAGCUUAAAUACUACUUCUUGUGCCUGUAACAGUUUUCUGAUUCACUAUAUUUAUUUUUUGUCUCUUUAUCCCACCUCUUCAUCUUUCUCCUCUAAUUUUAAAUGACUUGAUUUUAUUUCCUUUCCUAACAUAUUAAUUCUAAUUUUUUUAGAGGUUAUCCUAUAUUGUAACUAUAAGUUCUUUUAAAAGGCUGUUAUAUUUUAAAUUUAUUGAUAGGAAAAAUGAAAACUUUUUAGUUUACCUUCAUUUAUUCCCUCACUGAUGUUCUUUCUUUCUUUAUAUUGUCCUGAGUUCUUUACCUAUAUUAUUUUACCACAUGUAAAGAUUUAUUUUAAUGAUGAUUGUAAGGCAAGUCUCCUGACAAUGAAUUCUUCAGUUUUUGUUUUUCUCUUUCACUUUUGAAGGAUAAUUUUGCUGGAUAUAUCAUUCUAGGUUAUUGGCAUUAUUUCUCAACAUUUUUUAACUCUGCCACUCCACUCUGUUCUUGUGUAAAUGGUUUCUGAUGAAAAAAUAUAUCUAACUCAUCUUUUUUCCUCUACAGUUUUCCCACUUUGGCUUAUUUAAAGAUUUUCUCUUGUCUUGGUUUUCUGUAGUUUGAAUAUGAUAGGUCUAAAUGGGUGUUUGUGUCUGUAUGUGUUGUGUUUUGUUACUUAUUUGCUUGGUGUUUUCUGAUACAUCUGGAUCUAUAGUUUAGUGUCUGCCAUCAAUUUGGGGAAGUUCUUAAGCAAUACAAUUUCAAAUGUUUUUUGGCUUCAUGUUCUCUUUCUUCUCCUUCUGAUAUUUGUUACACAUUUGUUAUACCUUUUAAUAUUGUCCUCAACUAUUGGAUAUGAUAUGAUAUAUUUUUAUUAAAUUACUUUUUAUCUUUGAUUUCAGUUUGGGAGUUUUCUAUUUACCUACCCUCAAGUUCAUAGAUUUUUGUCUUUGCUGUGUUGAGUCUACUGAUGGAUUGAUUUAAGUCAUUCUUUAGCUGUGUUAGUGUUUUUAAUAUCUAGCCAUUUGCUUGGAUUUUUUUCAGAGUUUCCAUUCUCUCUGUUUACUUUGCCCAUUCUUACAUUUGUUUACAUCACUUAACGUGUUAGUUAUGGUUAUUUUAAAUUCUCUGCCUGAUAAUUGUAACAUCAGUAUGAUACCUAAAUCUAGUUCUGAUGGAAUCUUUGUCCUUUCAGAGUGAACUUUUUCUUGUUUUUAAUGUAUUGGGUAAUUUUUGGUUGAAAAGCUGGGCAUAUUGUAUCAGGUAAUAGGAAUGGAAUUAAACAGCCCUUUAGUGUGAGGAGUUACAUUAACUUUACUGGGAGUUAGACCUUUUUUUUUUUUUUUUUUCAGCUAUAGGUACCAGAGGCUUCAAGUUAUAGUGUCUUCAUUUUGUCUCCCUUAUUAUCUCUGGGAUUACCUAAGAACUGCUUCCAAAAUGGACUCUGUGUCUUGAAGCUCUUUAAACUGUAAUCCACUGCUAUGAUGCUGGAGGUCUGUUAGUGUGGUAAUGUGGUGCUUUCUAUGAUCUUCCAAUUAAACUCUAGUCUUUCUAGUAGGCUUGUGUCUAAGUGAUGGGACCAUCACAAGGGUUUCUCUACUAAUACAUAACAUUUCCCCUCUCCCCCUAAUCCCUUCCUUGGCUACAGAAUUACACAGCAAUUUCCAUGAAGUACUAUCCCUUAUUGGCCAUUUCUCCCCACCUGGAGAUAGGAGAUAGGAAAGCCAGAGGGUGCUGGAGUAGGGAGGGAUUUCCUUUCUUCAACUGGGAUAAGGUGUCAGAACUGAGUUUUGCCAGUGUCUUUUUACAUAGAGAAUAGGCCUUUGUUACUUUGAAGAAGACUCUGGUUACUCUUCUCUUUGUUCUGCCAGAAUCCUGAGGGGCUUUUUCUCAGAUCUUCACAGAAUGAACCUGGUAGGGCUCGUAGAAGAAAAAUUCAUGAAAGUGUACAAACCCUCUUAAGACUUCAGCUCCUAAGAGUGUCUCACUCACACUAGUUCACACUCAGUCUCUAGGAUUUCACCAAAAUUAUCAUUUACAUGUUCCAACCAUGUUCCCCAAUAAAUUCUGAUCCAGAUAAGUAAAUCUUGGUGGCUUCCUCUUUCUUUCCAUCUCCAUCUCUCUGCAUGCAUUUAUUUCUCUAGAUUUCAUGCUGUCCUGUGACCUCAGUUCUCACAUGGGUCUUGAUUUUCAGUCUGCCUGCAUUUUUCUUGUUGUAAAAUUAAGAGUAACACCUCUUGAAGUUCCCUGGUAGCUGAGUGGCUGAGCAGGUUAAGGAUCCUGCAUUGUCACUGCAGC
rnacentral:lncRNA from 1 species